rnacentral:rRNA from 1 species
CAUGCAGUCGAGCGGUAAGGCCCUUCGGGGUACACGAGCGGCGAACGGGUGAGUAACACGUGGGUGAUCUGCCUCGCACUCUGGGAUAAGCCUGGGAAACUGGGUCUAAUACCGGAUAUGACCUUACAUCGCAUGGUGUUUGGUGGAAAGAUUUAUCGGUGCGAGAUGGGCCCGCGGCCUAUCAGCUUGUUGGUGGGGUAAUGGCCUACCAAGGCGACGACGGGUAGCCGGCCUGAGAGGGCGACCGGCCACACUGGGACUGAGACACGGCCCAGACUCCUACGGGAGGCAGCAGUGGGGAAUAUUGCACAAUGGGCGAAAGCCUGAUGCAGCGACGCCGCGUGAGGGAUGACGGCCUUCGGGUUGUAAACCUCUUUCGACAGGGACGAAGCGCAAGUGACGGUACCUGUAGAAGAAGCACCGGCCAACUACGUGCCAGCAGCCGCGGUAAUACGUAGGGUGCGAGCGUUGUCCGGAAUUACUGGGCGUAAAGAGCUUGUAGGCGGCUUGUCGCGUCGAUCGUGAAAACUUGGGGCUCAACCCCAAGCUUGCGGUCGAUACGGGCAGGCUUGAGUACUUCAGGGGAGACUGGAAUUCCUGGUGUAGCGGUGAAAUGCGCAGAUAUCAGGAGGAACACCGGUGGCGAAGGCGGGUCUCUGGGAAGUAACUGACGCUGAGAAGCGAAAGCGUGGGUAGCGAACAGGAUUAGAUACCCUGGUAGUCCACGCCGUAAACGGUGGGUACUAGGUGUGGGUUUCCUUCCACGGGAUCCGUGCCGUAGCUAACGCAUUAAGUACCCC